AUACCGAGGGUGCGAGCGUUAAUCGGAAUUACUGGGCGUAAAGCGCGCGUAGGCGGCUUGGUCAGUCGGAUGUGAAAGCCCCGGGCUCAACCUGGGAAUGGCAUUCGAUACUGCCAGGCUAGAGUAUGGGAGAGGGAAGUGGAAUUUCCGGUGUAGCGGUGAAAUGCGUAGAUAUCGGAAGGAACACCAGUGGCGAAGGCGACUUCCUGGCCCAAUACUGACGCUGUGGUGCGAAAGCGUGGGGAGCGAACAGGAUUAGAGACCCCAGUAGUCC
rnacentral:rRNA from 1 species